UACGUAGGGGGCAAGCGUUGUCCGGAAUCAUUGGGCGUAAAGCGCGUGUAGGCGGUUCAGUAAGUCUGCUGUGAAAGUCCAGGGCUCAACCCUGGGAUGCCGGUGGAUACUGCUGGGCUAGAGUGCGGAAGGGGCAAUCGGAAUUCUUGGUGUAGCGGUGAAAUGCGUAGAUAUCAAGAGGAACACCUGAGGUGAAGACGGGUUGCUGGGCUGACACUGACGCUGAGGCGCGAAAGCCAGGGGAGCAAACGGG
rnacentral:rRNA from 1 species